UGCCAAACGUUUACUAUAAACAGCAGGGGAUAUCCCUGGCUUCUGUACUUCCCACAAAAAAUACCUACAAUGUAUCAAUACCAAUGUUUCAGAUGUUUUUCUUGCUGUCAUUCCCACAGACCCCUCAGCCAAUCUGUGGAAAAGACUAAUGCCACUCAACUGAUGGCAUGAACAACCAGGAUAGACUGGACUAAUUACCCUCAGGCAGUCCUUCCAAAUAUAAGGUGCUAUAGUUUGUCCCUGAAAUGUCCCUGAAAGGUCCAUGUGUUAAAGGCUUGGUCCCCAACCUGUAGCAUUAUUGGGAAGUAGCAGAACCUUUAAAAGGUGAUGCAUAGGGACUGGGGAUGUAGAGCUACAAGUGGUAGAGCACUUGCUUUGCCUAGUGUGCACAGGCCCUGGGUUCAAUACCUAGCGCACACACACACACACAAAUAUCAAGCUUAGUGGUAGGAAUUAGGUCACUGGAGAUGUGCCCUUGAAGGGGAUAUUGGGAACCUACCUUUUCUCAUCUUUGCUUCCUGGCUGUCACAGGCAAGAAUUUCCUCUGCAGUGUGCUCCCCACCAUGGUGUACUUGCCACAGGCCUAAAGGCAAUGAGGCACAAGUAACCAUGGACUUAUGAGCCAAAAUAAAUAAAACUUUCCUCUUUAUAAAUCGAUUAUAUCAGGUAUUUUUUUCAUUGACAGAAAAUAACACAUGAGGAUUAGACUUAAUUAUUCAAAGUAAACUGGAAACCCAAAGGUCUACCAACUGGCCAGGACCUUGGGGGACACUGACCCUUGUAAACAACACUUUCUCAGAGUGCCAUAUGUGCCCUUAUGACUAUAUUUCUUAUGUGAAAACUAGUUGGAUCAACCUCUCCAAAAGGGUGUACUGUAUUUUCAUGAUGAUCAUAAGAGAAUUUUGUGUUUUAGUAAACAUCAUGGAGCACAGAUCGUGCAACCCACAGAUAAUAAUGGAGAUAUUUCUAAAAUGAGGCUAUCCCUGGUUACUCACAGAACCUUUUUGAACUGAUAACUGACUUGCUGUUAAUAUACACAAUGGGAACAAUUAUUCCUAUUAUGUAACUCAUCUGAUUAAAAAGGCAAUGCAACUUUUGUCCCUGACUUUAGUUGAUCUGAUCAAUGGUACCACCAUGGCCCUGGAAGAUAUUCAGAUCAGCAUCAAAUGACUGGCCAGAAUUUAUUUAUAAAAAAUAGACUUUCUUAUAAGGCCAGGCCACAAUGGAGACUAUGCAAUAUCUAAUAUGGUUUCAUGACUUGGGCCAGAGUGGAAAGGUCAGUAUUUGAGAAAAACACCUAACUUUCUAGGGUAGACUUUAAUAAUUUAUGGAUUUGCUCAGCCUGUUGGAGGAGAGCUCUGGGGUCAGGAAUGAGGUUAAUAUAAGUUGGGCUCAUUCAGCUGCAAAUGCCUCACCACACCACUGACUAUAGCUAGUAAAUG
rnacentral:lncRNA from 1 species